CCUUUAGAGUCUCCUUCCCACUUGGCCGAGCCCAGACCUGCGUCUUCGCUUUCAGCUCUGCUGUCCCACGAGUUUUCUCAUCACCUCAGUGAGACGAAAGGGCUGAGCCUGCCAGAGUCAAGAGUGUUCCCAAGACUCCACGAAGGUGGCGUGAUGGGAGGCCUGGGACCCCAGAGGCCAUGUUCCUGUCCGGAAGCUCAGGCAGCACAUCCACCCUGGACUCCAGAUUCACCCCGCGUCUCUGCCAUCUCCCUCUGUCAUGUCUUGAACCCAGGAAAACAACGUGAACUGAUCAUUUUCCACAAUAUAGGCCUGGUCAUGUCAGAAUCAGGGCCUCUAAUUUAGGCGUCCUGGAAUAGGAGCUGUUUUGGGGCCUAAAGAGGGAACAGCUAAUGAGUUAAAAUAUUUUCAGGUGAAAUUAAUAUUCAAUGAUUAGAUUACUGGAAUAGGAGCUGUUUUUAGGCCUAAAGACGGAACAGCUAAUGACUGCAAAACAUUUUCAGGUGAAAUUAAUAUUCAAUGAUUAGAUUACUGGAAUAGGAGCUGUUUUAGGCCUAAAGAGGGAACAGCUAAUGACUGCAAAACAUUUUCAGGUAAAAUUAAUAUUCAAUGAUUAGAUUACUGGAAUAGGAGCUGUUUUAGGCCUAAAGAGGGAACAGCUAAUGACUGCAAAACAUUUUCAGGUGAAAUUAAUAUUCAAUGAUUCUAUUACUCAGCUGUUGACUUCUAUUAGUCAUAAUUCUCCUGGUUUUAGAUCUGAUGUGGAGGUUUAAAUCUUCCCCAUCUGUGUAUUUGUAGCUUCAGGGUCAUUGAUGACCUGUGGUUUUUAGGGAGGAGUGACUGAUUUCAUGUAUCAUGUAGAGGACUGGCAAUGCGGAUGGGAAGUUAAGAUUAGAACAGUGGGAGUUCCCGCUGUGGCGAAACGGGAUCAGCAGCGUCUCUGGAGCAAUGGGAAGCGGUUUCCAUCCCCAGCCCAGCACAGUGGGUUAAGAACCCAGCAUUGCCACAGCUGCAGCAUAGGCUGCAUCUGCAGCUCAGAUCUGAUCCCUUGCCUGGGAACUCCAGGUGCUGCAGUGUGGCCAGAAGAAGAAAAAAAAAAUGGAUCCCAGAUCAUGAUGUAGGCCAUGGAAGGUGUCAUGAAUUCCCUCUCGCUGUAACGGGAAGCCAGUAAGGCAUUUAAGAGCCAGAGUCACAUGAUUAGAUUGACUUGAGGGGCAGACAUAGGCACAAUCGUGAUGUAUCUGUGAAAUGUAAGAAUUCCGCCCUGACCUGAAUAGAAGACGGCCACUAGAAAAUCAGGAAAAAUGGGGUCAUGGUAGAUAAUGCCACCCAGAAAUGGGUUUAGACUUUACGUAAUUUUUUUUUAAAGUUUAGAACAGCAGCUGGUAAAUGGUUCAGAUUUUCCUACGUACGCAUCUAGUGUAUGUGUAUGAAUCAGUUUCGUUGUCAAUAUUAGUAAAAUAAUAUAAAAGACAAGAGAACUUAUCUAACAAUGGAUAUUUGCUGGGGUUUUGACCAAACCCACCAACAACCUACCUCUGAGCCUGGAUAGGCAAGCAGCCUUGUAGCUGCACAGGGUCCGGAAGGUACUCUGGUGCCGUCUCGUGGACAUCUGCUCUGACAGCAACUCUCAGGAUUUCCUCCUCUCUCUGCAUUGCCCUUGGGCAAUAUGCCCGUUGGUUUUCCUUCCCCCUCUUUCUUUAAAUACCGAGAAGUGCUCCACUAAGUAAGCUGUCUCGCUGAAUGUCUUCCAAGACACUGAGGCCAACCUACACCAGAACAAUCCAUUCACAACCUCAGCUCCAACCCAUCAUGUCAUGACAGCCUUAUUCAAUUUUUCAUGUAUUUGUGCACUUAUGUUUCUAUGAAUGUAACUGUGUAUGGAUGUAAUUAUUGAUUUUCUUGACCUUGGGAACAUUACCCAUUCAUGCCUACCUAUCUUUCUUUGUUUCUUCCUUCUUUUCUUUCUCUCUUUCUUGACCCCAGCUGAAGCAUAAGUGUGUUGUCUGCCCAUCGACAUAUUUCAAGGAAGAGAAGUUAUCAAUCCCACCGCAGGGACAAAGGCAGAUCUUUACCCAGGGAGCCAGGAGGGAUCUCUGAGAGAGCUUUUCUUUAUAUCAAUCUACCUGCCUUAAUUCCCCAGACCUUGCUUUUGAUCAGGUCUUCCUACCAGGUGUAUAGAGAGAAAAAAUGAGGCUCACAUGAAAAGAAAGGAACAGAGUUUCAGGAGACCUCUUGAGAGAAAAGGCACAAGAUUUAGAGCAGCUGCUCACCAAUCCAUCCUCCACUCACCUCCCGCAGGCACUUGAUCCAGAUCACAAACCCCCGCUCAGCCUGGGGUUUCAAAAAUGCCAGCUCCGACUUCACAAGCCAUGGUAUCCUAGUCCAGACUCCUGCCUCUUGAGAACACAGGCUGUCUGAUCCCAUUGAACCUGCCAAGCUUUCUUACCGCUGUGACACCCAGCCAGGCUGCAAAUCCACAUCCAAUGCUGAAAGGGCACCUGUGUCCCCUGCCUGACAGGAGGCAUCUUGGCCCAGAGAGUCCCAGGUGCCCUGAAGACAACCCUAAAUCUUUUUUUCACUCAAGAGACCUAGUGAAACUUCCCCCUUGCCUUUCCACAGAAGCCUCUGUUUCACUACCACACCAGGCUAUGGAGGCCUGACCAAACCCAGGUCUGAUGAAUUAGGCAAAGUUUAUUGAUAUCGAGAAAGCUCUCAUGGAGUUCCCUCAUGGCUGCCUGGUUAAGAGCUUGUCUCUGUCACUGCUGGGGCUGUGAUAGACUGCUUGCUGGGGCUUCAGCCAAAUGCAUCAUUCACCCCUUCUCUGAGCCUGGAGCCUGCAGCCUUGGAGCUGCCCAUGGGUCCAGGAGGUACUCUGGCACCAUCUUGUGGACAUGGGCCCUAACAGCACCUCUCAGGCCUGCCUUCCACCUGUUGCCUCAUCUCUCCUGGGGGCUGCACUGGCCUUGGGCAAGCCUGAGGCUUUGACUUUAUAUUUCCUUUCCAUCUAAGUGCCAUGAAGUCCCCUAAGAUGUGGGGUAUUUCUCUCUCAAAAAAAUUCGAAGCACUCAGCCAUACUUAACCAAGGCUGUUAUGUAAAUUCCCUCUGCCGCCCAACCCAUUGUGCCAUGGGAGCCUUAUGUCUUUCUUCAGAUAUUAAUUACCAGUAAUAAUUAUCUCUGGUGUAUGAAUUCAAUGAUUUAUUGACAUCUUUAUUUACUUACUUUUUUUUUUUGGAUCCCCUUGGGGAAUGACGACAUUGUCUGGCCCAGAUUUGAAACCAUACCACAGCUGUUACAACUCCAGCCUUGUACUUAAAAUCCUCUGCCUCCCCAAGCAUAACAUCAGGAGAGCCUUUUUUUGUCUUUUUGACAUUUCUUGGGCCGCUCCCAUGGCAUAUGGCAAUUCCCAGGCUAGGGGUCUAAUUGGAACUGUAGCCACUGCUGUGCCACGAGCCACAGCAAUGUGGGAUCCAAGCCGCCUCUGCAACCUACACCACAGCUCACAAUAAUGCCAGAUCCUUAACCCAGUGAGCGAGGCCAGGGAUCAAACCCGCAGCCUCAUGGUUCCUAGUCGGAUUUGUUAACCACUGAGCCAUGAUGGGAACUCCCAGGAGAGCCUUUUGUAUUGAUUUAUCUAUCAAUUCACUUGGCUGCUCUGUAGGAUUGUAUAUAUGUAGUUAUCGACUUCUUGAUCAACUGCUCUCUUUCUUUUGACUUUUUACUUUUAUUUAUUCAUUUAUUGAGGUGCCAACUGUGACACUGGGGACUUGUCUGGCCAGGUUGUGAUCUCCAAAUGCAGCUCUUAUCACAGCCCCAGCAGUGACAGAGACAAGCUCAUAACCAGGCAGCCAUGAGGGAACUCCAUGAGAGCUUUCUCGAUAUCAAUAAACUUUGCCUAAUUCAUCAGACCUGGGUUUGGUCAGGCCUCCAUAGCCUGGUGUGGUAGUGAAACAGAGGCUUCUGUGGAAAGGCAAGGGGGAAGUUUCACUAGGUCUCUUGAAUGAAAAAAAGCAUAAGGAUUAGUACAGCCACCAGCCAAAAUACCACCGAAUUCCACCAUCCAUUCAUCAGCACCAGCCUAUAUCCUGAUACCUAAACCCGCGACAAUCGGGGGCUUGACAAUUCCCAGCACGUGAAUCAAAACAGAGAGUGUGUGGGUCCCAGCUCCUGCCUCUGGAAGAACAGAAGGCAAUCUGAAACCCAGUGAAACCCUCAAGCAUUCUAAAUGCUCUGCCAACUGACCAGGCUGCAAAUCCACAUCCAGUGCUGAAGAGACACCUGUUUCCUCUGCCUGACAUGAGGCAUCUUGGAGCAGAGUCACCAGAGCCUGGAAAGCCAUGCCAAACCUCUGACUGCUGGCUGGAGGUUCUACCAAAACCACCAUCAACCUCACCUCUGAGCCUGCACUCACAGCCUUGAAGCUGCACAGGGGUCCAGAAGGUACUAUGGCUCUGUCUUGGGGACAUCUGCUCUAACAGCAACUCUCAGGCUUUCCUCCUCUCUGGCUCAGCAGCCCCCGGGGCUGUAUUGGCCUUGGGCAAUAUGCAGCUCUAGUAGACAAACGUCCAAAUGAUUGGCGAGACUGCUAAGGGUUCUGACUGACUUCAGAUUCUGCAGAAGCUAACACCGGAUACCAAAAUGUGUGGGAUUGAAUACUGGGCUUGCAGGGCUCCCAGGUCAGGCGUGCAUGGUGUUUGACCUCCGGACAGCUGGAGGGUGUUCAUGAAUAGAAUCCUCAAAAGCAGCGCUGCUUUGGUCAGCAGGUUGGGUCCCCAGAGACAGGUCUCUUGAGGGCUCUCUGAAAUGUUUCUUCUUUUUUGUCCAUCUGAGCCUCUCCCCUCCUCUCAUUCCCCCUGAGGGGAACAUCUUGUCUCUGUCCAAGUCCCAGAAAUGAUGAGUGGGACACAGAUUCAUUGACAUCUGGUCACCAGAUUUGGAUGGGUUCACCUCAAGGAUUUAGAGCAGUGGGGAAGGAUUGGGAGGAGUGAGUGCCAUGGCUGACUUUGAGGAAAAAUCACCCCCCUGUAUGGUGCUGGCUUGUCCUCAAGUCAGAAGAGGGAUUAAAUGGACUAUCGAAUGCACUAGCCCAGGGCAACCCAUCCAGGGGGUCUGUUCAUGGGGCAGGAGGCAGGGCUGUGAGUUGUCCUUCAGAGAAUAGCCACCAAGGAGGCCAAAGCAUGGCCCAAGCCUAGGAGCUGCUUGGCAGUGGUGCCUCCAGGCUCAGAGAUGGGGUUUGAGAUGGGAAUGGGUGGAUCCCCCAGGAGGGGUCCAUCGAAAAGCCUUACUGAAAGGGCCAGAACACUCUCCAGUCCAAUUUGGCUCACCUGGUAAAGGGAAUGUGUUCUGCCUUCCAAAUAUCAGGGUCACCUUCAGUCGACUGAGUUACCCCAAAGCCCACUUUUUUGUACACGGCCUCAGGGUUCAUAUGGCCCUGUGGUUCUCCGGAAGUAGAGCUGUGAACACACAGGCAGCUGGAGUAUGGGGCAUGCAGUUUUCCAGAGUCCAGGGUUUUGACCUGUGGUGAGCUGGGCUGCUGGUCAUCAAUGAAGGAUGAGUGUAAAAGCUGACAGCUUGAGGUGGGCAGACGGUCUUUAUGAAGGGACCCUCUCUCUCUUGGAUGUGUUCUGCAAAAUUCCUUAGAUUUUCCUCCAUCUGAACCUCUCCCUCCUUUUGAGCACCACUGAGGGAACGCAUUACCUGAAACCAGGUGACACAAAAUAUGGGCUGGCCAAGCCUGGCGUGAUGGGGAACAGUGUAAAACCAGUUGCCUGACUUGAAGUGUGUUCUGCUGAUGGACUCAAAGUGCUGACAGACAGGGAACAUGGUGGCAGGUCAAAGAUUUAGAGAGAAAAAUACCACCUUCCAUCAAGAUAUAAAUUGUUGGGGGGGGCACCAAAUCAAGCUCUCGGGUGCUCAAGAGCAGUGCCAACAGAACUGGGUGUGCUCAGGAAGGAGAAGUUUGACAUGUGUGUGGCUGAGAGUGGUUCUGGCCACUAGAGGACAAGGAGCUAUGACAUGCCCAGCUUCUGUUCCGCGUUGACACUGGCAGGCUCAGGGAUGGGUUUGGAGGUGGCGCUGGUGGCAGACCAAGGAUGUGCCCAGUGAGGAAACUCAAGUUACAGGUUGCUUCUGACCCUCAGGCCCCCAAAACUUCCUCUGUGAGUGGGUGCAUUGUUCUUCCUACACGACUAAAUGGUCUUUUCCUUGGGGAUCAUGGAGCCCGACCUACAGAUGAUUUGACAGCCUAUCUGGACCGGGAGACACUGGUGGUCAGAAAGGCUUUGGGUUCUCCAGCAGAAUAACCCUGAAUCCACAGGUUUGAGCCUUGGGCAUGUCCGUUUAGGAGAAUGGGGCUUUUGUCGGGAUGGCAUCUGGAAAGCAGUGCUUGGGGACCUGAGUGGAGUGUGUAGAAGCAGCAUUUCUGGCUGGCCGGGUUGUGCUCCUUCCCAGGUCUAAGUCUCAGAUUCCUCCCUAGAGCUCCUUUUUUCCUUUUCCCCCUGAGCCUCAGCAUCCUGUAAGUUACCCAUGAGGAAUGAAACAUAAUGAGAACUAAGUCGCAGGUAUUAAGGCAGGAGGAUGACUAUAAAGCUGGUGGGCUGACUUGAAGUGGGAUUGGCCGGUGGACAUAGGGUGGUGGUGUUGGAUAGGGAGGAGGAGGGGAGACUUUCAGAGAGACUUCUAGGCAUCUGUAAGGCACAUGGGGGGGUUACUUAGAGUGAGAGUAGGAGGGAGUUAGGCCUUAAGGUGAACAAGGUGAGUGCGGUGCAUCCAUGGUUUGCUCAGAAGGAACAAACUCUGAGUUGUUAUUAGAGAUACUGGCUGCCAGAAGGCGAUGGAGCACCAGCAGAGCCCAGCAGCUAUUUGUCAUAGGAGAAUCUGAACCAGGAGGCUGGGAGUGGUGGAUCCUCAUGAGACAUGCCUUCUGAGGAGGGCUGGGUUACAGGUUGCCUCUGACUCUCGGGUCUAAAUUAACUCACCUGAAUGAAAGACCUUCCCUUUCCAUCUGUGGGUCGCAUUCAGACAGCUUGGGCAGCCUAAAGUCCAGAUGAUGGGGCAGGCUGUCUAGAGUUCUGACUGCCUUUGGAUUCUACAGAGGCUGUAUCCGAGAUAAAAGGCAUGGAAUUUAAUACUGGCCUUGCAGGGUACCCUGAGGAGGCUUGAACAGUGUUUGUCCUCUGGGAAGUUGGGCAGGUGGUCAUGAAUGGAGGGUGCAAAAGCAGCAGUUCCUUGCUUGGGCCCCAGAUUGCAUUUGCCCCAGAGACUGGUCUCUUGAGGGUUCUCAGAAAAGAUUCUUUUUUUCCUCCUGAGCCUCUCCCAUCUUCUCUUUACCCUGAGUGGAAAAUCUUACAUCUGGCCAAGUCCCAGAUAAGAUUAUGAAGCUGAUUCAUUGAAAUCUGGUCACAUGAUCUGAAGGGUGUUCGACUCAAGGAAUUUGAG
rnacentral:lncRNA from 1 species